rnacentral:rRNA from 1 species
GACGUAGGAUGCAAGCGUUGUCCGGAAUUAUUGGGCGUAAAGAGUUCGUAGGCGGUUGCCUAAGUCUGGUGUUAAAGACCGAGCUCAACUUCGGCAUGGCAUUGGAAACUGGGUGGCUAGAGUACGGUAGAGGUAUCGGGAAUUCCAGGUGUAGCGGUGAAAUGCGUAGAUAUCUGGAGGAACACCGGUGGCGAAAGCGCGAUACUGGGCCGUAACUGACGCUGAGGAACGAAAGCCAGGGGAGCGAAAGGG